AGUGAACGCUGGCGGUAGGCCUAACACAUGCAAGUCGAACGGCAGCACAGUAAGAGCUUGCUCUUACGGGUGGCGAGUGGCGGACGGGUGAGGAAUACAUCGGAAUCUACUUUUUCGUGGGGGAUAACGUAGGGAAACUUACGCUAAUACCGCAUACGACCUACGGGUGAAAGCAGGGGAUCUUCGGACCUUGCGCGAUUGAAUGAGCCGAUGUCGGAUUAGCUAGUUGGCGGGGUAAAGGCCCACCAAGGCGACGAUCCGUAGCUGGUCUGAGAGGAUGAUCAGCCACACUGGAACUGAGACACGGUCCAGACUCCUACGGGAGGCAGCGGUGGGGAAUAUUGGACAAUGGGCGCAAGCCUGAUCCAGCCAUACCGCGUGGGUGAAGAAGGCCUUCGGGUUGUAAAGCCCUUUUGUUGGGAAAGAAAAGCAGCAGGUUAAUACCCCGCUGUUCGGACGGUACCCAAAGAAUAAGCACCGGCUAACUUCGU
rnacentral:rRNA from 1 species